CCUAAGUAGCUUUUGGCAUCACAUUUAAAAAUCUUAAGUAUGCCUUGAGGAGAACCCCUGCAUGUCCCUGCCCCUUUCCUACCAGUGCCCCCUACAUGUUGUUAGCUGAGUGUCCCAUGGGGCCUGAGGCAUUUACUCUGAAACAAUUAGAAUGUUCAAAGCAGGCUGGAGUCACAUAGAUACAGAAGCCAGGAAUAAUGGAAUAAGACUGCAGUUCUAUUCUGUUGGUUUCUGGAACUGAGGGCAUAAUUAAGAGGAAUAGCCAGGGACAUUCAUAUUGCAGCACUACAAGUGAAAUUCUUGGACUGGUGCAAGAUGGACAAGAGUAAAAUUAUUUGCCCAGAAUGUUUUCAUUACUCAAG
rnacentral:ncRNA from 1 species